GAUUGAACGCUGGCGGCAUGCCUUACACAUGCAAGUCGAACGGCAGCACGGGGGGCAACCCUGGUGGCGAGUGGCGAACGGGUGAGUAAUGCAUCGGAACGUGCCCAGUAGUGGGGGGAUAACUAGUCGAAAGAUUAGCUAAUACCGCAUACGACCUAUGGGUGAAAGCGGGGGACCUUUACCGGCCUCGCGCUAUCGGAGCGGCCGAUGUCUGAUUAGCUAGUUGGCGGGGUAAAAGCCCACCAAGGCUUCGAUCAGUAGCUGGUCUGAGAGGACGACCAGCCACACUGGGACUGAGACACGGCCCAGACUCCUACGGGAGGCAGCAGUGGGGAAGUUUUGGACAAUAGGGCGCAAGCCUGAUCCAGCCAUGCCGCGUGCGGGAAGAAGGCC
rnacentral:rRNA from 1 species